UGGCGGACGGGUGAGUAAUGUCUGGGAAACUGCCCGAUGGAGGGGGAUAACUACUGGAAACGGUAGCUAAUACCGCAUAACGUCGCAAGACCAAAGAGGGGGACCUUAGGGCCUCUUGCCAUCGGAUGUGCCCAGAUGGGAUUAGCUAGUAGGUGGGGUAACGGCUCACCUAGGCGGCGAUCCCUAGCUGGUCUGAGAGGAUGACCAGCCACACUGGAACUGAGACACGGUCCAG
rnacentral:rRNA from 1 species